AUACGGAGGACGCGAGCGUUAUCCGGAUUCAUUGGGUUUAAAGGGUGCGCAGGCGGCCGUGCAAGUCAGCGGUGAAAGCCCGGGGCUCAACCCCGGAAGUGCCGUUGAUACUGCAUGGCUGGAAUGCGGUCGAGGCGGGCGGGAAGUGGGGUGGUGCGGUGAAAUGCGUAGAUAUGCCACAGAACGCCGUUAGCGGAGGCAGCGCGCCAGGCCUGGAUUGACUCUCGGGCACGAAAGCGUGGGGAUCGAACAGGAUUAGAUCCCCUGGUAGUCCACGCCGUAAACGAUGGGCGCUCGUCGUCGGCGGCAGACAGUCGGCGGCCAAGCGAAAGCGAUAAGCGCCCCACCUGGGGAGUACGGUCGCAAGGCUGAAACUCAAAUGAAUUGACGGGG
rnacentral:rRNA from 1 species